CUCAUUUGGUUUGUAAAUGUCUACAGAUGGGCUUGCGGGCGCCCAACUGCAUUGCAAGAUAGGACAAGGGAUAGUGAUGAGGAUGAUCUUCAUGACAGAGAUUUUGAUGUAGCAGCUUUAGCAAAUAAUCUUAGCCAAGCAUUUAGAUACUCGAUAUAUGAUAAUGAGGAUGCUGAGGAGGGCAAUGGGGCUCUUGAUCGAGUUGAUGAGUCGUGAAGAACUUUCUUAUAUUGAAGAGUUAUAGUGAACAAUAGGAACUGAAGGAAUGAAUUGAGUGGUUGCGAAGUGUUUUCAUUGUAAUUCAGUGAGCUCAAGAAUCUCUGUGGUUCUUUCUUGAAUAAUGGGUUCAAGAAUUCAGAUCUGUUUGCUGGUUGUUUCUGUCCAAAUUUUACUUGUAGCAGCACAAACGAAUAAU